GCGAUAAGUAGUGUGAAUUGCAGAAUUCAGUGAAUCAUCGAAUCUUUGAACGCACAUUGCGCCCCUUGGUAUUCCAUGGGGCAUGCCUGUUCGAGCGUCAUUUGUACCCUCAAGCUCUGCUUGGUGUUGGGUGUUUGUCCCGUCUCCGCGCGUGGACUCGCCCCAAAGUGAUUGGCAGCCGGCGUACUGGUCCCGGAGCGCAGCACAUGUCGCGCAAACGAGUGCCUUGGUACGGCGGCGUCCAUAAGCCCCUCUCUCACGCUCUUGACCUCGGAUCAGGUAGGGAUACCCGCUGAACUUAAGC
rnacentral:misc_RNA from 1 species